rnacentral:rRNA from 1 species
UACAGAGGUCCCGAGCGUUGUUCGGAUUCACUGGGCGUAAAGGGCUCGUAGGCGGCCAACUAAGUCGGAUGUGAAAUCCCCAAGCUUAACUUGGGAACUGCAUCCGAUACUGGAUGGCUUGAAUCCGGGAGAGGGAUGCAGAAUUCCAGGUGUAGCGGUGAAAUGCGCAGAUAUCAGGAGGAACACCGAUGGCGAAGGCAGGUCUCUGGGCCGAUACUGACGCUGAGGAGCGAAAGCGUGGGGAGCGAACAGG